AGAGAACUGACAAGCGUACACAAACCAAAGCUAUUCUGGUGCAAGAAGCAGUCACAUGUUUCACUGAGAACAAAUCAUUUGCCUCGGAUUUUGUGGAUGAAAUUAUAUCGGACACUUUAAUAGAUUUAAUUCUACCAGACAUAGUUAUAGAGGCCCUGACUCGCAGCAAUGCACAGAAGCAGCUGCAAGUGCAGAAAUCACAUAAACAACAACCAACCUGGAAAAUGAUGUCAAAGUAAGAUGAGACUUAAAAGAAUAAUUAUUUUGUUUUUUUUAUACCAAUCUGUUACUAAUGAAUAAAUUAAUAUAUUUUUAAGGGUUA